rnacentral:rRNA from 1 species
GACGAACGCUGGCGGCGUGCUUAAUACAUGCAAGUCGAACGGACAGGCCCUGCUUUUGUGGGUUGCUCGAGUGGCGCACGGGUGAGUAACACGUGAGUAACACGUCCCUGUCAUUGGGAUAACUCCAGGAAACUGGGGCUCUUACAGGGUAGGAGAUCUUGCUGCACGGUGGUGGUUGGAAAGAUACGGCGGUUCGGGAUGGACUAGCGGCUUAUCCGCUUCUUGGUCGGGUAGUCGCUUACCAAGGCUAUGAAGGGUAGCCGGCCUGGGAGGGUGACCGGCCACAUGGGGACUGAGAUACGGCCCAGACUCCUACGGGAGGCAGCAGUGGGGAAUAUUGCACAAUGGGCGGAAGCCUGAUGCAGCAACGCCGCGUGCGGAAUGCCGGCCUUCGGGUUGUAAACCGCUUUCGCCUGUGACGAAGCGUGAGUGACGGUAAUUGGUAAGGAAGCACCGGCUAACUACGUG